rnacentral:lncRNA from 1 species
UUAGUUCACUUAUUUGAAUUUCUAACUUCAUAAACCUUCUUUCUGAAUUUUAGUAGAAAUGAGCCAGGUGAUUGCCAAUUCAAUAUGAGACUUAUAAGUUGCAUUGUAGAAAGGAGGCACUUGAAGAGGGUUUUACGAAGCUUUCUUGAAUGAGGGUACGCAUCGGUAAAAUGUCUCGUCAAAUUGCUCAAGUAAGAGUUGCUACAAAUUAGUAUCAAAUAGGUUGGAAGAACUCAUUAUGUAAAACCAGGUAAGUGAAUCAGAUUCAAUUUUAUAGCAAGUGGAG